rnacentral:lncRNA from 1 species
AUUAAAUUAGGGCAAAAAACUAACCAAGGUUAAUUGUGAAUAAACUAAGGUUAAAAGAACUGAAUGGGGUCAACAUUCAGGGGUCGGGUAAUUUAGGAAAGCUAGUGAGGGUAUAAAAGAGUUUUGAAUCUGUAAAAAUCUGAUGGGAAUCUUUAGAUUAGGGACUAAUACAUAAUUCUAGCCUCAAACUUGAGGCACAAGUCAGAAAUUGAAGGAAUAGUCAAAAAUACAAUUUGAAUUGAGGAUUAAAAAUAAAACAAGGGAAAAUCUGAUGCCCUAACAAUUUUACUAUAAAAUGAACCAUUUGGGGGCAUUGGAGGUAAUCCGAAACUUUUCUCUACAAUUAUAAAGCAGAAAUACUAAUUCUAUAUAUGAAAAUACCAUUAGGAUUGUUUUGAAUAAUUUUCUGAAGAUUUAACUCUCCAAAAACUCUGUUGAAGUCUGGAAAUAUUAUUUUAUUGUCUGUUGGUUGCUUAGCUGAUCCUUUCUAUUUUACUCAUAGGCUGUUUCCUUUGCUGCAUUAUAGGUACCAUUUAAAGCUCAUGUAUAUGUGAAGUUCAAAGUGAAAUAUAC